GACGAUAUGAAAUACACUUCAGCUACGAUUCCCAUGAUCCACAUUGUUAUUACUUCAUACAGCGAACGUGUUAAGCACCAAGCCACCAGCGGGUAGCAAGAUGACCAAAUAUGUCGCAUGAAAAUAUUAGAAACACCACCAACCCAACUUAAAUAUGGGAAACUGAGGCCCGGGGCCCCAAAGCCAGAUAACGGCAGAGCUGGACUAGAAGAAGCCAGAUCUCCUGUUUUCCAAGCCAGAAUUCUUCCGCCGCAAGUGACCGCUGCUGAGAGUCAAGUUCAAACACCGAACUUUAAAUAUGAUCUUCUCAAAGGACACAGAGAGCCUCAGCCACAUGGCCCUUCUGGAUUCUGUUGCUGCCGCUCUACGCCUCAAGGGUCUACUCCCUGAAAGAAGCCAGAGCCUUCCUCUCCCAGCUCCUCCCAUCCUAAAACCCAACCACCAAGCCGACAAAGCCAACCCUCUUCUACCCUCUAGUCCUUCAGCCCCAGUCUUGGUGGCGACCUGUUAUCUCCAGGUCUUAUCUCCUUGGCUCCACCCCUACUCUCCACCCCAUGGGGCUGCCUCUGCCCCCUCCACCCGCCACCCAGAUGGCUUCUGCUCAGGUCACCAGCAGCUUCGCUCCCUAAAUCCAACGCACGCUGUGUGGCACUCCACCUGCCUGACCUUCCUGCACCAGUGCCCCUGUUGACCACUCCCUGCAGGGAGCCAUCUGCCACUCCUGUCCCCCCACCCCACCACUGCUCCGCCAGCAACUUCUCAAUGCCCUUUGUCAGCUCCUCCCCCACCCAAGCGUUGCUGUUCUGUCUUGAGCCCACUCUUCUUCCCAAGCUCUCUCCUUUGGCAUUCCCAUGGAUUGAAUAGCCAACGAGUCCUAGGGCCACAUCCCAGCCCAGACCUGUCUCCUGGGCGCUGGGCCUGGGCACCCAACUGCCUCCACUGGGUGUCUCUACAGCAACUCAAACCAAGCAUGUCUGGAACCAUCUCAUGAUUCUAUCUCUCAGACCCGCUUUCCCUCCCAAGCCCCUAUGUCCAUAAACAGCACGAUCACCCACCCUGCGUUCAAGCCAAAAACCUGGGAGUCGCUGACCCCUUUCUCUCGCUCUCGCUGCACCCACUCGCUAAGUCCUGCCGAGUUCACCUUCCGAAUGCCUGUGCACUCCAUCCAGACCUCCUGAUUCAGAUGAUGCCACCUAAACCUGGGACACCCCACCUAUGUCCCAGUGAGGGGGUCCUAACUGAUCUCCCUAAGCCACACUUACCCCACAUUCCACUCUCCUUACAGCAGCCAGAGGGAUCUUUCUAAAACAUACAUCUUUUUAUGUCAUUGGCCACCAUCUUCCAACUGCUCCCCAGUGAAACCCCCAAAUGGGUGGCACCUUGUGCCACCUUCCCCCAGCUCUCUGAGCACCAGCCUCCCUGGCCCUU
rnacentral:lncRNA from 1 species